UAAAUUUUUCUAAAUUUUAUGCAAAGUUCAUCUGCUAUUCUCCUUUACGAUUCUCCAAUAUAUUUUUUAAUCAAUGUAUUAUAUAUAUUGGCGACUAGUUUCUUUUAAAAGUAACGUUACUCUUUGUUGCUUCAUUCAGGUGCUGAUUUCUGACUGGAUUUGUGUAAUCAAGAAUGGAAUUUCUUCUUUUUUCCUGCCCAUAAAACUGCUGAUGUUUGUGGAAUCUCUAAGAAAGCAAAACCUGACUAUUGCUCCCCGGAUGCCUGAAUUUCACAGCAUGUAAUGAAAGAGCAGCCUGACUAUUGCUCCCCGGAUGCCUGAAUUUCACAGCAUGUAAUGAAAGAGCAGCCUGACUAUUGCUCCCCGGAUGCCUGAAUUUCACAGCAUGUAAUGAAAGAGCA